rnacentral:rRNA from 1 species
GUUGUUCGGAAUUAUUGGGCGUAGAGGGUGCGUAGGCGGUUUGGUAAGUCUGAUGUGAAAUCUAUGGGCUCAACUCAUAGUCUGCAUCGGAAACUGCCGGGCUUGAGUGUGGGAGAGGUGAGUGGAAUUCCUGGUGUAGCGGUGAAAUGCGUAGAUAUCAGGAGGAACACCUGUGGCGAAAGCGGCUCACUGGACCAUAACUGACGCUGAUGCACGAAAGCGUGGGUAGCAAACAGG